rnacentral:rRNA from 1 species
ACGGGUGAGGAAUACAUCGGAAUUUGCCCUGUCGUGGGGGAUAACGUAGGGAAACUUACGCUAAUACCGCAUACGACCUAACGGUGAAAGCGGGGGAUCGCAAGACCUCGCGCGGUUGGAUAAGCCGAUGUCAGAUUAGCUAGUUGGCGGGGUAAAGGCCCACCAAGGCGACGAUCUGUAGCUGGUCUGAGAGGAUGAUCAGCCACACUGGGACUGAGACACGGCCCAGACUCCUACGGGAGGCAGCAGUGGGGAAUAUUGGACAAUGGGGGCAACCCUGAUCCAGCAAUGCCGCGUGUGUGAAGAAGGCCUUCGGGUUGUAAAGCACUUUUAUCAGGAGCGAAACACGUAAGGUUAAUAACCUUGCGGACUGACGGUACCUGAGGAAUAAGCACCGGCUAACUUCGUGCCAGCAGCCGCGGUAAUACGAAGGGUGCAAGCGUUACUCGGAAUUACUGGGCGUAAAGCGUGCGUAGGUGGUUUCUUAAGUCUGCUGUGAAAGCCCCGGGCUCAACCUGGGAAUUGCAGUGGAUACUGGGGAGCUAGAGUGCGGUAGAGGGUAGUGGAAUUCCCGGUGUAGCGGU